rnacentral:tRNA from 1 species
UGCAUCGGCCGGGAAUCGAACUAGGGCCGCCCGCGGAGCAUGCGAUCAUUCUACCACUGAAUCCCCGAUGC